CGGACGGGUGAGUAACGCGUGGGUGACCUGCCCCAUACCGGGGGAUAACAGCUGGAAACGGCUGCUAAUACCGCAUAAGCGCACAGAGCUGCAUGGCUCAGUGUGAAAAACUCCGGUGGUAUAAGAUGGACCCGCGUUGGAUUAGCUGGUUGGUGGGGUAGCGGCCCACCAAGGCGACGAUCCAUAGCCGGCCUGAGAGGGUGAACGGCCACAUUGGGACUGAGACACGGCCCAAACUCCUACGGGAGGCAGCAUG
rnacentral:rRNA from 1 species